ACACACAUUUCUCACAGCCAAGUUUAAAACAAUUUAAAUGAAGCAAAGUAUUCAAUUAGAGAUGCUUGAGGAAACCAGGCACGUAUCAUCUGUGUCAGCAGCAAAGGAGAAGAAAAUAUUUAGCCUUUGCAAGCUGUGACCACUUCAGCACUGUAUGAUGAUGUUGCCUCACGGAAGAGCAAAAGAAUACAUCCAAUACCUUAGAGAUAUUAAUUUCCCCAGGAAAAAAAAAAGAAAACAAAGGAAGAUCCUCUGAUUACAUUUAAAUAUUUCCUUGCCAGUGCUUGGGGGAAUUCUGACAUUCCUUCUAGCAAAGGAAAGCUAUUGUGCCUGGGAAAAAGGUGAUUAGGGCACCGUGCCUGGGAGGAUAGAGGUAAGGGAGGGGUGAAAGGGAGGAAGGGGUGUUUCAAUAGCAGCACAGGUGCAACAGUUUGAACUGAGUGAUGGCCUUACAAAUGACCCUGGCACAGAGCAGAGGAAACCCAAGGAGAAGAUUAAUUGAAUUACAGCUACAGUAUGUAUGUAUGCAUUUUAUUUCUGUUCUAGAGUCUAAAUGGAUUGUGGGGCUGGCUGACCAGCUGGGGUAAGGUCAAAAUAUUGAGGAAAUGGGAGGGGAUAUGGAUGAACAAUUUUCUUGAUGAGGAACAAACCCUUAGCUUGUUUGCUUUUGUCUAGAACAUUUUGGAGUCUGAAAAGGCUCAGUUUAUAACCUCCUUUAUCUAAGUGCAGUCUGAUUAUUUUUCAUGCCAGGAUAUGACCAGUACCUGAGGUUUUGGCUUUAAGACUAUGGAAGGUAAAUUGGGAUAAGGAGUAGAACAUUGGCUUUAUAACCCAAUUUCUCACUUUCCAGGAGAGCUUAUGGUAGAAUUUUUUCUUUAGAACACUGAAAAUAUAAUUUACAUUUUAAGAAAGUUAAUAUCCACUUUACUACAGAGGUAAUGUACACCCAGUACCUCAAAUUCAUCUUGCAUAUAGUAAGCCUUCAACCCGGGAAGACUGACCACCCUGUCCCUUGCUUUAACAAGUGUUUAAGAGAAAAUAUGGCAUAUUAGAAGGACUGUUACUAAACUGGGUGACUAAUGAGUGGUGUGUCAUCAAACUAUGCAAUCUUCAACACUUCAUUUUAGCCUCUCUGAGACUUGGCUCAAUUGUGUCUAAUAGCCCCUCCAUCUGUCUUCUGGGAGUCACCCUCGCACAGCAGUUCCUCUCCGCUUCUUCUUGUAAGCCUGUGCAUGGUUGCUAAUGCUGUGGUGUAGUGAGAUCUUGCCGGCCAGCCCCAGCAGCAUUCCGCCCCUCACCACUCAGUGAAGUUUAUAUAAACUUGCAAGGAAAAUGCAUGUGAUGCAUUCAAGAAGAGGCUGAGGCAGACAUCCGGUCCAGUAUGACUCAGUGAAUUUGAAGCGCAGGCGCACGACUCUGCUCAUUAUGUAACCACUCCAGACUUCAGUUAGAACCUGAAACCAUCACGGGGAUAAAGAAACCAAGAUUCAGUAAGCCUGAGUCAUCUGAGCAAGUUCGCCUGGAUGAUGAGGAAACUAGGACUUAAAUAGUAGCAAGAAAGUGUCCAUGGUUCCAUGGCUAGGAAAGAUGGCUGCUUCGAUCCAUGUUGGCAUGCUACCAAACUUGUGUCAUUUCUUCUAUUCCACACCGCCUCUUACAGGAAAAAACACUCGAAGAAUGGCCAAUGAAGAUUUAACCCCCUUAACUCCUAAGAAUUGUGAACCUUCGUAUCUGAAUCUGAAGGAAGGGAGCAAGGCAGGAAGAGAAAGAUUGCUUUCUUUCACUUAGCAUCAACUACCCCAAAGCUGGAGGAUUGCAAAAAUUCUUAAAGGCAGCAGCUUGCAAGCAAGGCUCCUGGCAACAUUCUACUGAUUUCUUAAGUGUUCAAUUCUGAAAAAAAUAAAAAAAA